rnacentral:rRNA from 1 species
CACGUAGUUAGCCGUGACUUUCUGGUUAGUUACCGUCAAAAAUCGAGACAGUUACUCCUCGAUUUGUUCUUCACUAAUAACAGAACUUUACGAUCCGAAGACCUUCUUCAUUCACGCGGCAUUGCUCCAUCAGGUUUGCACCCAUUGUGGAAGAUUCCCUACUGCUGCCUCCCGUAGGAGUCUGGGCCGUGUCUCAGUCCCAGUGUGGCCGAUCACCCUCUCAGGUCGGCUACGUAUCAUUGUCUUGGUAGGCCUUUACCCCACCAACUAACUAAUACGCCGCGGGAUCAUCUAAGAGCGACAGCAAAGCCGUCUUUCAUUCAUAGACCAUGCGGUCUAAGAAGAUAUGCGGUAUUAGCAUCCGUUUCCGAAUGUUACUCCCCCACUCCUAGGCAGAUUCCCCAGUGUUACUCACCCGUUCGCCACUCAUCCGCACUCUGCAAGCAGAGUGCUUCAGCGUUUCGACUUGCAUGUAUUAGGCAGUCGCCGC